GUCUGCUGCGCGGACACGAACGCGAAGAUCUGGAUUUAACCAGGAUCGUGGAUCUAAUCAAGUGCUCCAUGGCUAAAUGGACCUGGUGGCUACAGAAUUGGACGGCUCAGGUCUAGGGGCUGACAGAGGAAAUGAAUGGGGGAGGCUGGUGGAGGACACAUUCACUGGAAGAGAGAUCAAGGAGCUGGGUAUGGGGAAUUGGAAGCAUCAUCUCUGUGGAUGUUGAAAUCACCAAGAAUAAUGACUGGAUGGUGUCAGAAGUGAUGGUAUUUCUAGGAGCUGUCAUCAUAAAACUUAUGUAUCCGUACAAUCCUAUGUAUCUGAAAAUAUCUUUAUCCUUGAUAAUUUGACUUGGUGUAGA